rnacentral:tmRNA from 1 species
GCUCUUCAAAACCGCCGUCGGCCUCUCUAUAUUCGCUUUGCCGGUCGCAAGGCCGGCUAUGGCGAUAAACGUUCUUCGCAAUAAACCUAUCGGACCCGGGGGCGGUACCCGGCGCCUCCACCAGAACCCAGGACCGAUGGCCGCAGAGUGUCGGCGGUGUUGGGUUCCGGCGGGGGCGAAAUAGGAUCGACGAGGGCGUAAAGGGUGAGCUUUCGCUCGGCAUGGUUCCGCCGUUAUCGGGCCUUUGCAAUAGUUGCCAACGACAACUUUGCUCCGGUGGCUGUCGCCGCGUAAGCGGUGCCAAAAACCGACCUAAAGUCCUAGCGGGUAGCACCGCAUAGGCGGGGUUCGGAGGUACCUGGCAACAGAAACCUCCACU